rnacentral:rRNA from 1 species
AACGAACGCUGGCGGCAGGCCUAACACAUGCAAGUCGAGCGCCCUUUCGGGGGAGCGGCGGACGGGUGAGUAACGCGUGGGAAUAUGCCCUUCUCUACGGAAUAGCCUCGGGAAACUGAGAGUAAUACCGUAUACGCCCUUUGGGGGAAAGAUUUAUCGGGGAAGGAUUAGCCCGCGUUGGAUUAGGUAGUUGGUGGGGUAAUGGCCUACCAAGCCGACGAUCCAUAGCUGGUUUGAGAGGAUGAUCAGCCACACUGGGACUGAGACACGGCCCAGACUCCUACGGGAGGCAGCAGUGGGGAAUCUUAGACAAUGGGGGCAACCCUGAUCAAGCCAUGCCGCGUGAGUGAUGAAGGCCUUAGGGUUGUAAAGCUCUUUCAGCUGGGAAGAUAAUGACGGUACCAGCAGAAGAAGCCCCGGCUAACUCCGUG